CCAGACUCCUACGGGAGGCUGCAGUCGAGAAUCUUUCGCAAUGGGCGCAAGCCUGACGAAGCGACGCCGUGUGAGCGAAGAAGGCCUUCGGGUUGUAAAGCUCUUUCGCUGGGGAACAAG
rnacentral:rRNA from 1 species